GUCUCCAGUGGGAAACGUACUAAACUUCUGCCCAGACAGAAAAGAUUAGCAUGGCCCCUGCGCAAGGAUCACACGCAAAAUCGAGAACCAUUCCACAUUUUU